rnacentral:misc_RNA from 1 species
GCAAAAUAGACAAUUUGAUAAGUUGUCCAGAGUCAGCAACAAUAUCCAAAUUGAUGUUGUAAGACAAGGUCGGCGACAACAGGUUUCUACAUUUGAACUUUUUGUCGGAGAUGUUGUUUGUCUCAACAUAGGAGACCAAAUCCCUGCUGACGGAUUGUUCGUAGAUGGGCAUUCCUUGCAAAUUGACGAAUCCAGCAUGACAGGGGAAAGCGACCACGUUGAAGUUAAUCACGACCAAAAUCCAUUCUUGUUCUCUGGCACCAAG